rnacentral:rRNA from 1 species
UGGGGAAUCUUGCGCAAUGGUCGAAAGACUGACGCAGCGACGCCGCGUGUGGGAGGACGCCUUUCGGGGUGUAAACCACUGUUGCCCGGGACGAAUUGCCUGGUUCGCCAGGCGUGACGGUACCGGGUGAGGAAGCACCGGCUAACUCCGUGCCAGCAGCCGCGGUAAUACGGAGGGUGCGAGCGUUGUCCGGAAUCAUUGGGGCGUAAAGGGCGCGUAGGUGGCCCGGUCAGUCAGUGGUGAAAGCGCGGGGCUCAACCCUGCGUCGGCCAUUGAUACUGCCGCGGCUGGAGCACUGUAGAGGCAGGCGGAAUUCCGGGCUGUAGCGGUGGAAUGCGUAGAGAUCCGGAAGAACACCGGUGGCGAAGGCGGCCUGCUGGGCAGUUGCUGACACUGAGGCGCGACAGCGUGGGGAGCAAACAGGAUUAGAUACC